GACCCGCUAGCUCAACUGGAUAGAGCAAGUGCCUUCUAAGCACUAGGUUCGGGGUUCAAGUCCUCGGCGGGUCG
rnacentral:tRNA from 1 species